rnacentral:lncRNA from 1 species
GAUCAAAAGCGAGCCAGCGAAAGGGGCGACUUCCAAGGAUCCUGCCGACAGCAGCAACGCGGAGCUAAAGUGUUUAGGUGCGGGAGCUACCGACGACAACUCCAAGGAAAAGCAAGUCGCAGAUCUAACGACGGCAGAACGGCAGGAGCUUCAGAUGAAGAAGGCCAAACUCAUCAACAUGCUCGACGAGGUAAUAAUACAUAUGACAAAUGCUUUAAAGAGUUUUUUUUUUCUUCUAAUUUUUGAACAAAAUAUUUUUUUGAAGUCACUACCAACAAUUUUCGAGAAUAAAGCACAGAUUUUUCGGGGAAUUUUAGUUGGUUAUUAGGAACAUCUAAUCUAAGAGGGAACAGAACUGGCAACACAAGAACUACUCCCUUAUACCUUAAGCUCAUGGUAGUUUUGGUCCAGUAAUUGGCGCUUAGAACAGAGAAGAUAUAUAUAUAUGACGUCUUCGAUGUUCUCAUCUGUUGUGUUCCUUACUGUUUUGGUCGUUGAGCUGUCGACUUACUCCUUCUACUUUGGGU